rnacentral:lncRNA from 13 species
UUCGCACCCCACGGCGAGCGCCGGCAAACACGCCCCUCCGCGCCCACCUCGCUCACACCGCCGCUCACCCUGGCAGCAGCGCUGGCUCACACCGGCGCUCACCGGCCCGCGCGCUCCCUCUCACGCGCGCACCGCCGCGGGGCGGCCCAGGAGCUGCUCUGGCAGCCACAGGCCAGUGCUGAAUAUCCCGUUUGUUCUCCGGCGGCAGGAGGGGCGGCUCCGAGGCCAGAGCCGCCCCCUCUCUUGGGACUGGCGGGCGUCUCCUCCCGGCACCCCGGGACCCACGGGUCGUCUCGCGUCCCGCCCGCAGGGACCCCGGAGAGAAGAGGACCCCUUGCGGAGUGAUUCUUUUGUGUUUUCACUGGUGUGA